rnacentral:rRNA from 1 species
UACGGGGGGGGCAAGCGUUGUUCGGAAUUACUGGGCGUAAAGGGCCAGUAGGCGGCCGGCUAAGUCCGACGUGAAAUCCCCAGGCUUAACCUGGGAACUGCGUCGGAUACUGGCUGGCUUGAAUUCGGGAGAGGGAUGCAGAAUUCCAGGCGUAGCGGUGAAAUGCGUAGAUAUCUGGAGGAAUACCGGUGGCGAAGGCGGCAUCCUGGACCGACAUUGACGCUGAACGGCGAAAGCUAGGGGAGCAAACGGG